UCCCCUUCUUCGUUUUCCUCUCUAUCUCUCGCCCCCUCUCUCUUCUCUCUCUUAUCCUCGUGGUAUCUUGUCGUAUUUCUGAUCGGUACCGGCGAGGUGGUGGAGUAUUGUAUGUUUGCUACGAUGGAACUUGGGGGUAAGCUGGGUUUUCGCUCUGUUCUUUUCCCUUCGCGGGGAUGAAGAUGACGGAUGACGGCCGUCUCUCGGCCACAUGCAUGUUAUUUUUAUUCGUGUUCGUGGGUCGGUUUAUUCGGUAGAUCCGAUCUCAUGGGUUGUAGCUGGUUGCUAUCUCGUUUUCUCGCCAUCUCGUUUUCUUCCAUUGUUCCUGUUUUCGACCAAUGUGUUCCUGUAAUAGUCAUCUGCACGAGCUUUGACGCCCUUCCGCAUGCGUGGAGGGGCGGGAGCAGUGGAAGGGUGACGUUAACGAGAUGGCGGGCUUUGAGUUAGGAAACCCAGUAUGACGUGUAAGCUAAUUUAAUUUAGGAUACGCUGAGGCAUACGUUCGCAGAGGAUGCACGAGUUGAAUUGAAGGAGCAGCGAAGAUAGAUAGUGUAGUGGAUCUCUACGUACGACAAGCCUUUAAAGUUAUUAUCGUUAAGACAACUAGUUCCCUGUUGAUCAUUUCUUGGUUGGUGUUCUUUGAUAGUUUCUAAUCCUUGCAGUUCUGGAUAUUUCAUAUGGUUGGGUGGUGCUACCUGCCUGCCAGCUUUUCAACUUUCGAGUUGCAGGGAAGAAAGAUUAUUAUGAUUAUUCAUGGUUCUGGAGUUAUAGUCAAAUGAGCAGAUGAUGGAUAUGUUUUUUGUUUGAGGCAUCACCUAUACAAACAUGCUUCAAUCUUGCUUUUGCUCCAUUGUUCUGUUCUUAAAAUUUCAAACUCCUUUUUUUUAAAGCAUUAUUUUAUGUUAUUAUAUACUACCAGUACUGAACUUUGUUUGGUCAAUGUUAUGAUUCUUGAUGUUUUAUCAGUUUUCUGCUCCAUGGAUUAUUUAUAUUGGAAGAGAAAAAAAGAGAACAUAGAACAAAUACAUAUAUAAACACAAUAAAAGAGGCUUAUCCAUGCAAGCUAUUCAGCUAGGCCUUACAUGUUCCACUUAUGCAUUAUUUCAUAUUUAAGGUCAAGUUCUCUGAAAUCAAAGAAUCUAUAAAUCGGUACCCAGUAAUUCCAUCUAAUUCUUCUUUAUCACCCCUCCUUUCAGGCCUUCUUUGGGUAACAUGCAUGACUUUCCACCAUGUUUAGCGAUUUUGCUCACUUCAUCUGCCAUUUACAUCACAUAAAGAGCAUUUUUCUCUUCUUAUUGACAACUUCAUUCUUCCUAGUCUCAUUGCAUGCCCACUCUAACAUCCUCGUCUCCCCAUACUUCAAAAAACAGCUAUGGGAAUGCGAAAUGUACACCAUUUAACUAAAUGGUGUGUGAGAUUUGAUUUUAAUCACCCAAACAAUUUUUAGAUGCUCCAGCUCUUUUAUAUCUUUGCUUUUCCCAUUGUUGGAUCUGAACUAUUGGUCCAGCCACUCUGUGUCAAGCUUCAUGGUACUGCAGGGAAGCUCUUAAAUAAAUUAGAAAGGUUGGGCUAGUGCAGCAAUUUGUGAAUCAUUAGAGUUACCUAAUCCUGAAUUGAGGUACCAAACUCUGUGAACAAUUUCUUUGUAUACAGUUUAACAAUUUUGAUGGCUUUUCUUAUGUCACCUUUCAUCUCUGUAGUGAGGAAGAUAUACUUAUGAACAUCUAGAUGCUCAAUACUUUUAUAUAUUUGGGGCUCAAAACUAUUAUGACUUUGAAAUCUCAAACCAGUACAUAAUAUCAAUAAGGACUCAGAGGUGUUAGAUUAGUACAUCAUAAUGUGUUGUGCAUCUUCCAAUUUUUGACUUAUAAAUCUUCUUUUUGUGUUUUCUCCAUGUUGGUGACCGGACUUUGUUACAUUUACAUAUAUUUUUGUUUAUGCCUAGAUGAGGAUAUUAUUUAUGUCCAAUUAAUACAGUAUAUACGGUAUUUAAUCCAUUUCUAUGUCUCAGAACUGUAAAAUUGCAUAUAAUGUAUUUGCAUCUAAUAUCUCUAGUCCCUUAUCCUCAAGCUUUUCUUGUUACUCCCAAAUUUUCUUUCUACAUGUGUUUUUGUGUAUAGGGGUGGCAAUGGGCUGGGUCUGAUUGGUUUUAGGUUUGCUCAGAAAGAAACCCCCAACCCAUAUCUGAACCAUUUAUAACUGGGAUGAAAUUAAUAGAAUCAUACCCUACAGAUUUUGUUUUAUAUAUUCCCAUGCUCAACGUGUCAACCCACCAAUGAGGAUUUCACUUGACAUUAUUGGGGAAUGAAAAUGAUACGGCCAAGAACAGGGGAUUUAAGUUGGGCAUCCAUAUAUAUAUAUAUAUAUAUAUAUAGAGAGAGAGAGAGAGAGAGAGAGAGAGAGAGGAAAUUGAAGUGGAGAGCAAGUGAUAAACCCUAAACCCUGUCAACUCUACAUAUUCUUUAGUAUUUUUUGUUCAUUCUCUGAACCAUGAAUUGCCAGGCAUUACUAAACAGUUGAACCAAGCCUUGACUAGCCCUUGGCCCGCUAACAAUGCUACUAUCACAGGGUCAUAGGGCUGAGUUUUGAGGGUUUGUUCAACCUAUGGUGACUUGUUGGAUCUUGGUUCCAAACUGAUUUUCAACCCACUUAUAACCAGGUAGUCUUAAGUGACCCAAACUUUGCUCAAUUUUUUUUUAAAAAUAUAUAUACAAAUCCAUUUAAUUUGACAAACUCUGGUGGGUUGGUGGGUUCGGUUCAUAAAUUGCCAUUCCUUGGUUAUGUUUUUGUGUACAAUGAGGAGCCUUUUUGUGACUAGGGGUUGUGGUAUUGUGCCUUGGUAUGGUGCCAAUGGUUGGCACCAAGGUUGGGUGGCACACUCUGGUACUGCAGCAUGCUAACCAAUGGAUGCAGCUAGGGCCGCACCUUAGUGAAUGUGUUGAUUUGGAAUCAAGGAUUCAAGUGUUUGGUGCAUGCAAGUUAUUGUUGCUACCAGUGUAUCUGCUGAGUGCUCCUUUUAACUUAGUGGCCACCAUAUUCCUUCCAUAAUAUCCUAUCUUUUGUCCUGUCUAAGUUGAAAGAACUGUGUUUAAGUCCUGUCACCUCUUGAAUUCUUCAGUUUGCUUGCUGAAUUUGAUGGUUGACCCUUGAUAUUUGUUCAUGAUAUGAAAUAUUUUCAUGGCCUUGCUUGUUGUUUUAGCAGUCUAAUCUCCUAAAGAAAUGAGGCUUCACUAUUGCAGUUUAUCCUUUUCUUGUUGUCAAGUGCCGAUGUAAAUGGACAAAUUUCUUCCCAUCCAUGGACCACCAAGUAAAAUCUCAUACAUGUUAGCAAACAUAUGUAGGGUCAAACCUUGAUUGUACCUUGGUAUUCUAUCUAACUAAGCAUUCAAUGCUAAUACUGUAUUAUGUUGAGUUAUCUUUCACUGAGAUGGCAUUGUAUUUUUUUGUUAAUGGAGAAUGAGACUUUAAUCUUCUAUUUCUUUAGUUGAAAACAUGAGUGAUUGUUGACUUGUCUCAACUUUUUUUUUGUGAUUGUGUGUUGUUUUUUCUGCUUCACUUACCCACAUCUAUGCUUAAGUAAAUUUUCUUUUCACUGUUCUAUAGGAUGUUCUAGUUCUGAACAAACUUAUUGUAUGGAAGUCACAGCUAGAGCUUGUAUAAAAGCUAAUUUGUGUCUAUGCAUCAUAUAGUUAACGUGCUUGUGCUGUGGAGAAAUUCUUGGUGUUAUAAGCUGACUCUUGCAUAUCAUCUAAUGAAAGCUUGAGCUAUAUUGAGUCGCUGAAGCUUAAAGAGGCACUGAUUAUUUUUCAUCUAUUUUGGUUAUCUGAAUUAUAUGGAAUUCAUUUGCAAGCUAUGAAUUUCUUUGGUAUGUUAUGAAACUUAUUGAUCUGCAUAAAUUUUAUUAUUCACCUAUUCAUGUCUGCAAAAUGUUUUUAUGGUUGUAUUUCAUUCUGAAUUAAUUUUUUACCCUC